CCUACGGGAGGCAGCAGUGGGGAAUAUUGGACAAUGGGCGAAAGCCUGAUCCAGCCAUGCCGCGUGUGUGAAGAAGGCCUUCGGGUUGUAAAGCACUUUCAGUGGGGAAGAAAGCCUUGGGGCUAAUACCCUCGAGGAAGGACAUCACCCACAGAAGAAGCACCGGCUAACUCCGUGCCAGCAGCCGCGGUAAUACGGAGGGUGCGAGCGUUAAUCGGAAUUACUGGGCGUAAAGCGCGCGUAGGCGGUCUGAUAAGCCGGUUGUGAAGGCCCCGGGCUCAACCUGGGAACGGCAUCCGGAACUGUCAGGCUAGAGUGCAGGAGAGGAAGGUAGAAUUCCCGGUGUAGCGGUGAAAUGCGUAGAGAUCGGGAGGAAUACCAGUGGCGAAGGCGGCCUUCUGGACUGACACUGACGCUGAGGUGCGAAAGCGUGGGUAGCAAACAGGAUUAGAUACCCUUGUAGUC
rnacentral:rRNA from 1 species